GUAAUGUCUGGGAAACUGCCUGAUGGAGGGGGAUAACUACUGGAAACGGUGGCUAAUACCGCAUAACGUCGCAAGACCAAAGAGGGGGACCUUCGGGCCUCUUGCCAUCAGAUGUGCCCAGAUGGGAUUAGCUUGUUGGUGAGGUAACGGCUCACCAAGGCGACGAUCCCUAGCUGGUCUGAGAGGAUGACCAGCCACACUGGAACUGAGACACGGUCCAGACUCCUACGGGAGGCAGCAGUGGGGAAUAUUGCACAAUGGGCGCAAGCCUGAUGCAGCCAUGCCGCGUGUAUGAAGAAGGCCUUCGGGUUGUAAAGUACUUUCAGCGGGGAGGAAGGUGUUGUGGUUAAUAACCGCAGCAAUUGACGUUACCCGCAGAAGAAGCACCGGCUAACUCCGUGCCAGCAGCCGCGGUAAUACGGAGGGUGCAAGCGUUAAUCGGAAUUACUGGGCGUAAAGCGCACGCAGGCGGUCUGUCAAGUCGGAUGUGAAAUCCCCGGGCUCAACCUGGGAACUGCAUUCGAAACUGGCAGGCUUGAGUCUUGUAGAGGGGGGUAGAAUUCCAGGUGUAGCGGUGAAAUGCGUAGAGAUCUGGAGGAAUACCGGUGGCGAAGGCGGCCCCCUGGACAAAGACUGACGCUCAGGUGCGAAAGCGUGGGGAGCAAACAGGAUUAGAUACCCUGGUAGUCCACGCCGUAAACGAUGUCUACUUGGAGGUUGUGCCCUUGAGGCGUGGCUUCCGGAGCUAACGCGUUAAGUAGACCGCCUGGGGAGUACGGCCGCAAGGUUAAAACUCAAAUGAAUUGACGGGGGCCCGCACAAGCGGUGGAGCAUGUGGUUUAAUUCGAUGCAACGCGAAGAACCUUACCUGGUCUUGACAUCCACAGAAGAAUCCAGAGAUGGAUUUGUGCCUUCGGGAACUGUGAGACAGGUGCUGCAUGGCUGUCGUCAGCUCGUGUUGUGAAAUGUUGGGUUAAGUCCCGCAACGAGCGCAACCCUUAUCCUUUGUUGCCAGCGGUUAGGCCGGGAACUCAAAGGAGACUGCCAGUGAUAAACUGGAGGAAGGUGGGGAUAACGUCAAGUCAUCAUGGCCCUUACGACCAGGGCUACACACGUGCUACAAUGGCGCAUACAAAGAGAAGCGACCUCGCGAGAGCAAGCGGACCUCAUAAAGUGCGUCGUAGUCCGGAUUGGAGUCUGCAACUCGACUCCAUGAAGUCGGAAUCGCUAGUAAUCGUGGAUCAGAAUGCCACGGUGAAUACGUUCCCGGGCCUUGUACACACCGCCCGUCACACCAUGGGAGUGGGUUGCAAAAGAAGUAGGUAGCUUAACCUUCGGGAGGGCGCUUACCACUUUGUGAUUCAUGACUGGGGUGAAGUCGUAACAAGGUAACCGUAGGGGAACCUGCGGUUGGAUCACCUCCUUACCUGAAAGAAGC
rnacentral:rRNA from 1 species